AACGAACGCUGGCGGCAGGCCUAACACAUGCAAGUCGAGCGCGCCCUUCGGGGUGAGCGGCGGACGGGUGAGUAACGCGUGGGAACGUGCCCUUCUCUGCGGAAUAGCCUCGGGAAACUGAGAGUCAUACCGCAUACGCCCUUUGGGGGUAAGAUGUAUCGGAGAAGGAUCGGCCCGCGUUGGAUUAGGUAGUUGGUGGGGUAAUGGCCCACCAAGCCGACGAUCCAUAGCUGGUUUGAGAGGAUGAUCAGCCACACUGGGACUGAGACACGGCCCAGCCUCCUACGGGAGGCAGCAGUGGGGAAUCUUAGACAAUGGGGGCAACCCUGAUCUAGCCAUGCCGCGUGAGUGAUGAAGGCCUUAGGGUUGUAAAGCUCUUUCAGCUGGGAAGAUAAUGACGGUACCAGCAGAAGAAGCCCCGGCUAACUCCGUG
rnacentral:rRNA from 1 species